AAUGCCGCGUGAGCGAAGAAGGUCUUCGGAUUGUAAAGCUCUGUUGCCGGGGAAAAAGGAAGGAAAGAGGAAAUGCUUUUUCUUUGGAUGGUACCCGGCCAGAAAGUCACGGCUAACUACGUGCC
rnacentral:rRNA from 1 species